rnacentral:rRNA from 1 species
AGAGUUUGAUCCUGGCUCAGGAUGAACGCUGGCGGCGUGCCUAACACAUGCAAGUCGAACGGAACUUCUUUGACAGAAUUCUUCGGAAGGAAGUUGAUUAAGUUUAGUGGCGGACGGGUGAGUAACGCGUGAGUAACCUGCCUUUGAGAGGGGAAUAACUUCCCGAAAGGGAUGCUAAUACCGCAUGAUGCAUAGAAGUCGCAUGGCUUUUAUGCCAAAGAUUUAUCGCUCAAAGAUGGACUCGCGUCCGAUUAGCCAGUUGGCGGGGUAACGGCCCACCAAAGCGACGAUCGGUAGCCGGACUGAGAGGUUGAACGGCCACAUUGGGACUGAGACACGGCCCAGACUCCUACGGGAGGCAGCAGUGGGGGAUAUUGCGCAAUGGGGGAAACCCUGACGCAGCAACGCCGCGUGAAGGAUGAAGGUUUUCGGAUUGUAAACUUCUUUUAUUUAGGACGAAGAAUGACGGUACUAAAUGAAUAAGCUCCGGCUAACUACGUGCCAGCAGCCGCGGUAAUACGUAGGGAGCAAGCGUUAUCCGGAUUUACUGGGUGUAAAGGGUGCGUAGGCGGCUUGGUAAGUCAGAUGUGAAAUGUAUGGGCUCAACCCAUGCACUGCAUUUGAAACUAUUGAGCUUGAGUGAAGUAGAGGUAGGCGGAAUUCCCUGUGUAGCGGUGAAAUGCGUAGAGAUAGGGAGGAACACCAGUGGCGAAGGCGGCCUACUGGGCUUUAACUGACGCUGAGGCACGAAAGCGUGGGUAGCAAACAGGAUUAGAUACCCUGGUAGUCCACGCUGUAAACGAUGAUUACUAGGUGUGGGGGGUCUGACCCCUUCCGUGCCGGAGUUAACACAAUAAGUAAUCCACCUGGGGAGUACGACCGCAAGGUUGAAACUCAAAGGAAUUGACGGGGGCCCGCACAAGCAGUGGAGUAUGUGGUUUAAUUCGAAGCAACGCGAAGAACCUUACCAGGUCUUGACAUCGAGUGACGAAUCUAGAGAUAGAUUUUUCCUUCGGGACACAAAGACAGGUGGUGCAUGGUUGUCGUCAGCUCGUGUCGUGAGAUGUUGGGUUAAGU